rnacentral:rRNA from 1 species
GUCCUAGCCGUAAACGAUGGGCACUUGGUGUUGGGGGUAUUGAGUCCCUCGGUGCCGGAGCUAACGCGAUAAGUGCCCCGCCUGGGGAGUACGGUCGCAAGACUGAAACUCAAAGGAAUUGACGGGGCCCGCACAAGCGGUGGAGCAUGUGGUUCAAUUCGACGCAACGCGAAGAACCUUACCGGGGCUUGAACUGUAAUUGACACUCGAUGAAAGUCGGGGUUCUCUUCGGAGACGGUUAUAGAGGUGCUGCAUGGCUGUCGU